rnacentral:snRNA from 1 species
GCGCUCACUUUGGCAGCACAUAUACUAAAACUGGAAUGAUACAGAGAAGAUUAGCAUGGCCCCUGCACA